UACGUAGGUCCCAAGCGUUGUCCGGAUUUAUUGGGCGUAAAGCGAGCGCAGGUGGUUUAUUAAGUCUGGUGUAAAAGGCAGUGGCUCAACCAUUGUAUGCAUUGGAAACUGGUAGACUUGAGUGCAGGAGAGGAGAGUGGAAUUCCAUGUGUAGCGGUGAAAUGCGUAGAUAUAUGGAGGAACACCGGUGGUGAAAGCGGCUCUCUGGCCUGUAACUGACACUGAGGCUCGAAAGCGUGGGGAGCAAACAGG
rnacentral:rRNA from 1 species